rnacentral:lncRNA from 1 species
UUAGCUAGAUUACAAAAUGCACUCUAAUCUAAAAACAAUGCUGCACAACUUUGUCUUAUGCAUGCUUUCUGAGAUGUCUUCAUCUUUGACCAUCAUCUUGAUUUGAUCCAGAUUGCAUUGCAUGAGAUAAGUAUGUUUCUGCUUCUUCUUUAUUUUCCUAAUUAGGCUUCCAUGUCUAUUUUAGUGUAAUUCGAUCCAUGUGAUUUUCAAUCCAUGUGAUUUGUCAGACUUGAGCUCUAGUCGCUUUCAACUGCUCUUUGUUUCAUCAGUUGAAAGUUCUGAUUACUUUCAACCGCUCUUAGCUUCAGUUGAAAGAUGUGAUAUUCUCAUCAGUUGAAUGAAUUAUGAGUUUCAUCAGUUGAAUGAAUUACGAGCUUCAUCAGUUGA